rnacentral:rRNA from 1 species
AUCUAAGCACGAAACUUGCCCCGAGAUGAGUUCUCCCUGACCCUUUAAGGGUCCUGAAGGAACGUUGAAGACGACGACGUUGAUAGGCCGGGUGUGUAAGCGCAGCGAUGCGUUGAGCUAACCGGUACUAAUGAACCGUGAGGCUUAACCUUACAACGCCGAAG